rnacentral:rRNA from 1 species
UAAUGGCAGGUCAGCAUACUGCCGUGAAUACGUUCCCGGGCCUUGUACACACCGCCCGUCACACCAUGAGAGUUGGGAAUACCCGAAGCCUGUGAGCUAACUUAUAGAGGCAGCAGUCGAAGGUAGAAUCAAUGAUUGGGGUGAAGUCGUAACAAGGUAAC